UGGGGAAUAUUGCACAAUGGGCGAAAGCCUGAUGCAGCAACGCCGCGUGAGUGAUGAAGGCCUUCGGGUUGUAAAGCUCUGUCUUUUGGGACGAUAAUGACGGUACCAAAGGAGGAAGCCACGGCUAACUACGUGCCAGCAGCCGCGGUAAUACGUAGGUGGCAAGCGUUGUCCGGAUUUACUGGGCGUAAAGGAUGCGUAGGCGGAUUUUUAAGUGAGAUGUGAAAUACCCGGGCUUAACUUGGGUGCUGCAUUUCAAACUGGGAAUCUAGAGUGCGGGAGAGGAGAAUGGAAUUCCUAGUGUAGCGGUGAAAUGCGUAGAGAUUAGGAAGAACACCAGUGGCGAAGGCGAUUCUCUGGACCGUAACUGACGCUGAGGCAUGAAAGCGUGGGUAGCAAACAGGAUUAGAUACCCUGGUAGUCCACGCCGUAAACGAUGAGUACUAGGUGUAGGAGGUAUCGACCCCUUCUGUGCCGCAGUUAACACAAUCAAGUACUCCGCCUGGGAAGUACGAUCGCAAGAUUAAAACUCAAAGGAA
rnacentral:rRNA from 1 species